rnacentral:rRNA from 1 species
AUUGAACGCUGGCGGCAGGCCUAACACAUGCAAGUCGAGCGAGCGGCGGACGGGUGAGUAAUGUAUGGGGAUCUGCCUGAUGGCGGGGGAUAACUACUGGAAACGGUAGCUAAUACCGCAUACCAUCAGAUGAACCCAUAGGGGAUUAGCUUGUAGGUGAAGUAACGGCUCACCUAGGCGACGAUCCCUAGCUGGUCUGAAAGGAUGAUAAGCCACACUGUGGCUGAGACACGGCCCAGACACCUACGGGAGGCAGCAGUGGGGAAUAUUGCCCAAUGGGCGCAAGCCUGAUGGAGCCAUGCCGAGUGUAUGAAGAAGGCAUUCGGGUUAUAAAGUACUUGCAGUCGGGAAGCGUUACCGACAGAAGAAGCACCGGCUAACUCCGUGCCAGCAGCCGGGGUAAUUC